CGUUGGGGGGCUGCUGGCUGGAAAAGAACUCCACGCGGCCGGGAAUGAAGCGCGCCCAAGUCCGCUGCGCUGCCAGCGCGCGGCUGCCCAGUGUCUGCACCUCUUCCUCACUUGUAAUAACUAGAAGCACUGGAAAUCAGCAUGUAAGGGGAUGAUAGAAGCUCAUAUACUGAAACAUGAAAAGCUUUAUCUAAGACAUGAUUCACCUGUUCGAAUCAUCAAUGUACUCUGAGAAGAAGAAAUGAAACUCCGGCUGUCACUUAUGAAAGGAUUAAGAGGUGACCAUUUCAGAAUUAACACUUGCCUAUCUUCACUCCCUCCUGGGCUCGAAUGACAGUCUCUUAGACAUAAGCAAAACAUCCAAUCAAGCUUUUACAAGUAAAGAAGCACUGUUUGUGAUAUGAGGAUUUGUUUUUUCCUGUAAUUGUCUAUGAUUAGGCAGUGAGCUUCAAGAUCUUCAGAGAGCUUCUAAUCACCAAUCUGAAUUUAUUCUAAAAAGAUUUUUUAUUUUAAUUUUCUCCUUUAGCUACUCUCCUAAAAUACUAAUAAACUUCAACUUAAAAUUUACUAUCUUAAAAAGUUAAAAUGUACAUGCCGUCUUUCCUCUGGUUUAAUUUUUAAACUCUGUUAAUUACUUGGU